rnacentral:rRNA from 1 species
CAGUAGCCACGGUAAUACAGAGGGUGCAAGCGUUAAUCGGAAUUACUGGGCGUAAAGCGCGCGUAGGUGGUUUGUUAAGUUGGAUGUGAAAUCCCCGGGCUCAACCUGGGAACUGCAUCCAAAACUGGCAAGCUAGAGUAUGGUAGAGGGUGGUGGAAUUUCCUGUGUAGCGGUGAAAUGCGUAGAUAUAGGAAGGAACACCAGUGGCGAAGGAGACCACCUGGACUGAUACUGACACUGAGGUGCGAAAGCGUGGGGAGCAAACAGGAUUAGAUACCCCUGUAGUCCCUGUCUCUUAUAC